rnacentral:rRNA from 1 species
AGCGAACGCUGGCGGCAGGCUUAACACAUGCAAGUCGAACGCCCCGCAAGGGGAGUGGCAGACGGGUGAGUAACACGUGGGAACGUACCCUUUGGUUCGGAAUAACUUGGGGAAACUCAAGCUAAUACCGGAUAAGCCCUUAUGGGGAAGGGUUUACUGCCGAAGGAUCGGCCCGCGUCUGAUUAGCUAGUUGGUGAGGUAAUGGCUCACCAAGGCGACGAUCAGUAGCUGGUCUGAGAGGAUGAUCAGCCACCCUGGGACUGAGACACGGCCCAGACUCCUACGGGAGGCAGCAGUGGGGAAUAUUGGACAAUGGGGGCAACCCUGAUCCAGCCAUGCCGCGUGAGUGAUGAAGGCCUUAGGGUUGUAAAGCUCUUUUACCCGGGACGAUAAUGACUGUACCGGGGGAAUAAGCCCCGGCUAACUUCGUGCCAGCCGCCGCCGUAA